UACGAAGGGGGCUAGCGUUGUUCGGAAUUACUGGGCGUAAAGCGCACGUAGGCGGAUAUUUAAGUCAGGGGUGAAAUCCCGGGGCUCAACCCCGGAACUGCCUUUGAUACUGGGUAUCUCGAGUCCGAGAGAGGUGAGUGGAAUUCCGAGUGUAGAGGUGAAAUUCGUAGAUAUCUGGAGGAACACCGGUGGCGAAGGCGGCAUCCUGGACCGGUAUUGACGCUGAGGCGCGAAAGCCAGGGGAGCAAACGGG
rnacentral:rRNA from 1 species